rnacentral:rRNA from 1 species
GAUGAACGCUGGCGGCGUGCCUAAUACAUGCAAGUCGAGCGAACGGACGAGAAGCCUGCUUUUCUGAUGUUAGCGGCGGACGGGUGAGUAACACGUGGAUAACCUACCUAUAAGACUGGGAUAACUUCGGGAAACCGGAGCUAAUACCGGAUAAUAUUUUGAACCGCAUGGUUCAAAAGUGAAAGACGGUCUUGCUGUCACUUAUAGAUGGAUCCGCGCUGCAUUAGCUAGUUGGUAAGGUAACGGCUUACCAAGGCAACGAUGCAUAGCCGACCUGAGAGGGUGAUCGGCCACACUGGAACUGAGACACGGUCCAGACUCCUACGGGAGGCAGCAGUAGGGAAUCUUCCGCAAUGGGCGAAAGCCUGGCGGAGCAACGCCGCGUGAGUGAUGAAGGUCUUCGGAUCGUAAAACUCUGUUAUUAGGGAAGAACAUAUGUGUAAGUAACUGUGCACAUCUUGACGGUACCUAAUCAGAAAGCCACGGCUAACUACGUG